rnacentral:rRNA from 1 species
AGAGUUUGAUCCUGGCUCAGAUUGAACGCUGGCGGCAUGCCUAACACAUGCAAGUCGAACGGUAAUAGGCCGUUGGGAUCCCUUUGGGGUGACCUUGGCGUUGACGAGUGGCGGACGGGUGAGUAAUGCGUAGGAAUUUACCUCAAAGCGGGGGAUAGUUUGGAGAAAUCCGGAUUAAUACCGCAUGUGUUUUAUGAGGAAAGUGGGUUUUUAUUUGUAAGUUUGCACUUUGAGAUAAGCCUACGUCGGAUUAGUUUGUUGGUGGGGUAAAAGUUUAUUAAGGUGAUGAUUUGUAGUUGGUUUGAGAGGAUGAUCAGCCACACUGGGACUGAGAUAUGGCCCAGACUCCUACGGGAGGCAGCAGUGGGGAAUAUUGGAUAAUGGGCGUAAGCCUGAUCCAGCAAUGCCGCGUGUGUGAAGAAGGCCUGCGGGUUGUAAAGCACUUUUAUCAGGAAAGAAAAUUAUAGGGAUAAUAUCCCUGUGUUUUGAUGGUACCUGAUGAAUAAGCACCGGCUAACUCCGUGCCAGUAGUUGUGGUAAUACGGAGGGUGCAAGCGUUAAUCGGAAUUACUGGGCGUAAAGCGAGUGUAGGCGGCUCCGUAAGUCGGAUGUGAAAGCCCUGGGUUUAAUUUGGGAAUUGCAUUCGAUACUGCGCGGCUAGAGUCUGAUAGAGGGAAGUGGAAUUUUAGGUGUAGUGGUGAAAUGUGUAGAUAUUUGGAGGAAUAUUAGUGGUGAAGGUGGUUUUUUGGAUUAAGACUGACGCUGAGGCUCGAAAGCGUGGGGAGUAAAUAGGAUUAGAUAUCCUGGUAGUCCACGCUUUAAAUGAUGUCAACUAGACGUUGGCCCCAUUAAAGGGGUUAGUGUUGAAGCUAAUGCGUUAAGUUGACCGCCUGGGGAGUACGGCCGCAAGGUUGAAACUCAAAGGAAUUGACGGGGGCCCGCACAAGCGGUGGAGCAUGUGGUUUAAUUUGAUGCAAUGUGAAGAAUUUUACCAGCCCUUGAUAUCCUGGGAACUUUGUAGAGAUACAUUGGUGUCUUUGGGAAUCUAGUGAUAGGUGCUGUAUGGCUGUCGUCAGCUUGUGUUGUGAGAUGUUGGGUUAAGUUUUGCAACGAGCGUAACCCUUGUCCCUAGUUGCCAGCAUGUUAUGGUGGGAAUUUUAGGGAGACUGCCGGUGAUAAACCGGAGGAAGGUGGGGAUGACGUCAAGUCAUUAUGGCCCUUAUGGGCUGGGCUACACACGUGCUACAAUGGUCGGUACAGAGGGUUGUAAUCCCGUGAGGGGGAGUUAAUUUUAUAAAGCCGAUCUUAGUCCGGAUCGCAGUCUGUAAUUUGACUGCGUGAAGUCGGAAUCGCUAGUAAUCGCGAAUUAGUAAUGUUGUGGUGAAUAUGUUCCCGGGCCUUGUACACACCGCCCGUCACACCAUGGGAGUGGGUUGCACCAGAAGUAGUUAGCUUAACCUUGGGAGGGCGAUUACUAUGGUGUGAUUCAUGACUGGGGUGAAGUCGAAACAAGGUA